UCCGCCAUUAGCUCAACUGGAAAGAGCACGGAGCUUCUACCUCUGUGGUUCGGGGUUGGCGGACCAGUGUCCAAUUCGUUAAGCGAGGAAGUUUCUCAACUUUGAUUUAUGCGCUAUUUUUUUAUUGUGGUGAAUCCCCCUAUGCGGAG
rnacentral:tRNA from 1 species